ensembl:lncRNA
CCCGGACUGCCUGCCGCCAGGUGCCCUCACCUGCCUGGACCAGAAGGCCAGGCCCACGGGGGCCUGAGACAGGGGGCGCGUCAGGAUCGCUGUGCCCUGCCCAGCCCACGCCCGGGCCCCGGGGAGCCAGCGCCCUGCGCAUGGGCUCCCACGCUGCCUGGCAGGUGGCUGCUGCGGCCUGUGGCUUCUCCCGCCGCCACGAGUUCCUUCGGGCCCCCAGCCCCGUCUGCCCACUGCGCGGUGGCCACACGUUGUAAGCCUGGGCGCCCGCCCGUCCUGCGGCUUCCUGAUCAGGUCGCCCCAGCGGCUGCCUCGGCCCCGCCUGCCGCCGGGAUCCCGGCCUCCUCGGAGGCCCCUUCACCUCACUGUGCCUCUGUUUUCUCAUCUGCAAAGGAAGCCAGGCCUGCCCCCUGC